rnacentral:tRNA from 1 species
CCAGGAAGAAGACGCUCUCAGCUGAUUUGAACUCAGUCGAGCUUCGGGGUGUUGUCCGAGGUCCUGG